CUACAACUGAACCUCCUGCUCCAGUGUAUGUUCUUGCAGCAACCAUUAUUGAACCAUAUGAUGAACAACUUGGAAACAAAUCCAGCAAAUUGUUUAUGGAUCUUGAGAAAAAAGUCAUAGAAACAUAUGACUUAAUCUACAAAAAGAAGUUUGGAAUCCUCUUCAGUCAUAGUUUUGUCAUUGCAUUUAGAAUUUCCACACAAUCUGCACGAUUGACUACUACUGAAGCAGAAGUGGGGUUGGAGUUUAAUAAAACUACAACUUCUGACAAUCUCCCAAAGAAUGAAGUUGUACAAGAAACCUUACGCAAGGCGAUAAACAGCACCACUUUCAACGUUACAUUCAUUCCUAACACCAUUAAUAUAAUAA